GAUGAACGCUGGCGGCGUGCCUAAUACAUGCAAGUCGAGCGAACAGACGAGGAGCUUGCUCCUCUGACGUUAGCGGCGGACGGGUGAGUAACACGUGGAUAACCUACCUAUAAGACUGGGAUAACUUCGGGAAACCGGAGCUAAUACCGGAUAAUAUAUUGAACCGCAUGGUUCAAUAGUGAAAGACGGGUUUGCUGUCACUUUUAGAUUGAUCCGCGCCGCAUUAGCUAGUUGGUAAGGUAACGGCUUACCAAGGCAACGAUUCGUAGCCGACCUGAGAGGGUGAUCGGCCACACUGGACCUGAGACACGGUCCAGACUCCUACGGGAGGCAGCAGUAGGGAAUCUUCCGCAAUGGUCGAAAGCCUGACGGAGCAACGCCGCGUGAGUGAUGAAGGUCUUCGGAUCGUAAAACUCUGUUAUUAGGGAAGAACAAAUGUGUAAGUAAAUAUGCACGUCUUGACGGUACCUAAUCAGAAAGCCACGGCUAACUACGUG
rnacentral:rRNA from 1 species